rnacentral:rRNA from 1 species
UACAGAGGGGGCCAGCGUUAUUCGGAAUCAUUGGGCGUAAAGCGCGCGUAGGCGGCCCGGUAAGUCCGCUGUAAAAGUCCAGGGCUCAACCCUGGAAAGCCGGUGGAUACUGUCGGGCUCGAGUCCGGAAGAGGCGAGUGGAAUUCCUGGUGUAGCGGUGGAAUGCGCAGAUAUCAGGAGGAACACCAAUGGCGAAGGCAGCUCGCUGGGACGGUACUGACGCUGAGGCGCGAAAGCGUGGGGAGCGAACAGG